GGAGGGGUCGCAUAGUUUGGUCUAGUGCGCUGGUUUGCUAAACCGGUGUAUGGACUCGUGUCCGUACCGAGAGUUCAAAUCUCUCCCCCUCCG
rnacentral:tRNA from 1 species